UACGUAGGGUGCGAGCGUUAAUCGGAAUUACUGGGCGUAAAGCGCACGUAGGCGGUUUUUUAAGUCAGAUGUGAAAGCCCCGGGCUCAACCUGGGAAUUGCAUUUGAAACUGGGGAACUAGAGUGUGUGAGAGGGGGGUAGAAUUCCAAGUGUAGCGGUGAAAUGCGUAGAGAUUUGGAGGAAUACCAGUGGCGAAGGCGGCCCCCUGGCACAACACUGACGCUCAGGUGCGAAAGCGUGGGGAGCAAACAGG
rnacentral:rRNA from 1 species